AUGUGGCCAUUUAAAACAUGAACU
rnacentral:siRNA from 1 species